UGGGAACGUGAGAGAAAUGCACAGUGAAAAACCAGAAACUCAAUCUCUACCUCACGAAGACCUCACUCUCACUCGUCCUCUCGAUCGCUCAUCUCCUGUCCUUCGCGCCUCUCUCUCUCAGACGCUCGUUCCCUCAAUCUCUCUCACUCUAAAACCUUCGCACCUCUCUCAAUCGCUCGCGCUUCCCUCUCUCACUUUGAACAUGCAAGAAUCCAUGGCUUUAAGGAGAAACAAAUAAGGAGGCUCACCUUCGGCGGUGACGACGGCGACGGUGAAGCUUAAAUCUUCCUUCUUCGCCUCUUCAAUCCAGUAGAUUAGGGUUUAGGGUUGGCCUAUGCAGAUCAAAACAGGUAUCUCUGCGAAACCCUUUUGGUGUGCUCAGUUUGGAUUGCCUCUUUGAUGCUUGUUCUGGAAUGUGAAUUUCUUCAUUGGUAGCAGCGACCACUCCAUUGGGACAAAAACUUGUAAAGUGAAUUUCUUCAUUGAUGUAUUUUCUACUGUAGUGACUUGUUGUAAAAAAGGGUUCGCACUUUCUGGUUCGAUUAUUCAUCCGUGGAGUAAGCAGUUUGGAUUUGGGGAAUAAUUCUUUAGCUCAUUUGUUUUUAUUGAUCCUUUUUGCUAUUGCAGAUUGAACGUGAUGCUUCAAUUUAGGUUUGAUGAUGGUUUGAUCCUAUGAAGUGUAGGUUGCAUUUCCAUUGUGUUGCUCACGAUUUGUGCGCCUUGCUUAUGCUGUAGGUUGCUUGCAGCUGCUUGAAGAAUGUGUUAUGCAGGGAUAAUAUUUAGAACAAGUUUGAGUUGAUCUUGUAGCAGAAAGGGCCUGUUAUGGUCUGUUAUUGUUGUUGUUGCUGUGUAAUUAGCUUGAACUGCUAGUGAUGGAAUUAUUUGUUGUAUGCACAUGUAUGGUAUGUUGUUGAUUUCUGAAUGCCAUGGAAGUUUGAGUUGGUUUGAUGGUGAUUAUGGCUUAUGGCUUGCUAUGACUGUUUGACUUGUUGCUAAACUGCUUGAAGUGUUACUGCAUUGUAUGGACUUAUGGAAUUUGGCCUUUUGUGUUUAUUUGUAAGUCCCUUUAUAAAUCACUUGGUUCAAUCCUCUGGUUGCAGGUCUGAUUCCUCAAAACAAACUAUAGGGCAUGUUUGUUUAGCUUGUGGACUUUUGACUUGGACGGUAAUGCAGGCUGGACUGUUGAAGAUGUUCCUUGUGGUUCACAGUUGGGUAAGAUAACGUGAAUCACGGCAGCAUCCUGAAUGGCUCUGUUUUGAUAGGUCUGGUUUUUUGACAACCUCUUCCUGCAUUCUUAAAUGGAACUGACUUUUGGAUGUAUAAUCUGGUGCAUUAUCGCCUCCUGCUAGAAGGUGUCUUGUGCGAAAAAGCCUUUGGGAAGUUAUUCGAAGUCUCCCUAGUAUCUCAUGCUUGGAACAAAAAAUUUUAGAAUUAACCAGGUCCAUUUGUAUGAUUAUGUUGGUUUUAAGUAUGGUUGUAAUUUUUUGUAAAGCAAUUGACUUAGUAUUUUAAAACAACGGUGCAAUCGAUUUAUGCUUGUAAUGUGACGGUGCGUCUGGUUUUGGUUUUGAACUCAGUUUUGGAUGGCUGUUAGGGAGGUUUGGCUUAUAAUGAACUUGGGAUGUGUCAUUGUUGGAGUGGUUUUUUUUUUGAAAUGCUUGUAAAUUGUAUGGAUGUUAGAAAUUUGUUAUGAAAUUGUUGUGAGUUGUCAUGAAGUUGAUUAGUUUAAAAUUUGGUUAGAAAUUAGAAGUGUUGAAUUGAGUUAGAGUGAGGUGCGGUGGAUUGAAGAUUGAAGUUGAGUGGAAUUGGAAAGUUCUGUUAUUUAGAGUAUGGAAAUGGAAUUUAUUAGGUUUUUGAACUGAGUUCUCAUAUUGGUUAUGAAUUGCUCAUUAUUUGCAGGUAUGCUUGAAGUUCUUUCCAUUGGUUGCUUGGCUUGGAUAUGGUUUGUUAGAGUAUAUGAUGGAUCCUUUGACUCGAGUGCUCGUGGGAUUCAAAUUCAAUGUUUGUCUUGGAGUUUGCUUCGAGCUCAUAGAAUUGGAUAUUGGUGCUGACUUGGAAUUGAAGCUUGUAGGUCACA